UGAGAAAUGUGUUACUUAGAUAAUUUAAAUGAGCUGAUGAGUUGGUGUAAACAGAUUAGUAGAGAGGGCUUCUUGGAGGAGGUGACAUUAACUAGAGUCUGAAUGACAAGAAGAAGGGGUGUCUGGGUGGUUCAGUCAUUCGAGCAUCUGCCUUCAGCUCAGACCCAGCCGUGAGUGAAGAACAAAGAGAUGACAGGUCCCGGCCCACAGUGAAAUGUUCAGUGAAUGUCAGCAAUUAUUGAUGCAGUCCAGCAACAUCCACCAAAGCCUUGAAGAGAAGAAAUAUUGUGCUUAUGAGAACAACCUGCCUUUCAAAAUGGAACAGAAGAGAAUAGAAAAUGUCAAAACUCAGCGCACAGAGACAGGAUAAAUAUUACUCCAUGAAAUCUUUACUUCAGUUCUGAACCUAAGGAAGACUACAUUACAAUGAGAAAAAUUAAUGCCCUGAUUCAUGGUCAAAAUGCUUUUGAAAGUACGUGGCUCUAUGUGAUGUUUGAAACUUGCGUUCUUUUUGUUUUUCGUUCUUUUUUUCAAGUCCCAUGUUAAUUAUGGCAUAUCUAAAAAUUGAACUUAGCUGGGUCCCUGAAUAUCUGUUUGGAAGAAAUUCAACAAAGUCACUUGCUAUUUGAAAGCCUCUGUGCAGGCUUUAUACGGAGUAAAUAUAAAUUCGUAAAAUGUUUGAACAACCGAUAUUUUCAUGUGCAUCUGAAACAUAGCACCUACAUUUAAAGAUGUCUUCUGCAAACCUUAAGUAUCAUAUCAUAUAUUAAAGAUUCAUCAUAUAUUAAAUAUAUGGCCAUUA